CGCAGAUCCAGCAUGGGCUCAACCCCCGAUGUUGGCCUUGUCGGAGCAGAGCGACCGUGUGCUCGCUAGUCUAGACAAUGGCUCACGGGAUUCUGGUGUGGCUCCCGUCCCUUCUGUUGGCUUCCUCAACACCAUGGCCACUACAGCCGUUCGUGGGCAGGGUGGGAAGCCGAAGGCUGGUUUAGGUGGUGUCGUAGUAGCCGUGCCGCUGCAUGGCGCACAAUAGAGCUCGAGAGGGUGACCGUGAUAACUUUGGUGGAGCUGCUCUGUGAUGAACCAGGGGUUGGUUCUCUACUACCAGUCCUAUCAUUUCUCCGUGAUGAACCAGGGGUGUGAUUAGGUAGCGGGCUUCUUGGUGCAUCACAAUCCGCCAUGACAUGAUCCUUACCAUCAGGAGGGCCGACGACAAGAACUUGAAUAACAACCUCAGUAGUAUCUUGUGUUCUAUCGUUGUAAAUUGGAUUAUACUAGUUCCUAGUGUUGUUCUGUGAUAUUUUGUGAAUAUAUUCUGUAAAUUAUCAUUACAUGGAGGAUUUUGUAAGCUGGUGCGGUGUAGAUACCAAUGGAUGGCUGCAUAUUGAAUAUCCGUGUAAUAUAUGAUCAUACUUUGGAAAUACUUUGCCUUGGCCCAGAGUUGGUAUUACGAUUUGUGUAAUGCAUUGUACUGGUUCAAAAUUGGUGU